rnacentral:rRNA from 1 species
AACGAACGCUGGCGGCAUGCCUAACACAUGCAAGUCGAACGAGACCUUCGGGUCUGGUUGCGCACGGGUGCGUCACGCGUGGGAACCUGCCGGUAGGCUCGGAAUAACUCCCCGAAAGGGGUGCUAAUGCCGGAUAAUGUCUUCGGACCAAAGAUUUAUCGACCUUGGAUGGGCACGCGUUGGAUUAGCUAGUUGGUAGGGUAAAAGCCUACCAAGGCGACGAUACAUAGCUGGUCUGAGAGGAAGAGCAGCCACACUGGGACUGAGACCCGGCGCAGACUCCUACGGGAGGCAGCAGUGGGUGAUAUUGGACUACGGGCGAAAGCCUGAUCCAGCACGGCCUCGUGAGUGAUGAAGUUCUGAGGGUUGUAAAGCUCUUUUACCCGGGACUAUAAUGACAGUACCGGGAGAAUAAGCACCGGCUAACUUCGUG